AUUGAACGCUGGCGGCAGGCUUAACACAUGCAAGUCGAGCGGGGAAGGGUAGCUUGCUACCUGACCUAGCGGCGGACGGGUGAGUAAUGCUUAGGAAUCUGCCUAUUAGUGGGGGACAACAUUCCGAAAGGAAUGCUAAUACCGCAUACGCCCUACGGGGGAAAGCAGGGGAUCUUCGGACCUUGCGCUAAUAGAUGAGCCUAAGUCAGAUUAGCUAGUUGGUGGGGUAAAGGCCUACCAAGGCGACGAUCUGUAGCGGGUCUGAGAGGAUGCUCCGCCACACUGGGACUGAGACACGGCCCAGACUCCUACGGGAGGCAGCAGUGGGGAAUAUUGGACAAGGGGCGAAAGCCUGAUCCAGCCAUGCCGCGUGUGUGAAGAAGGCCUUUUGGUUGUAAAGCACUUUAAGCGAGGAGGAGGCUACUUGGAUUAAUACCACUGAGGGAUGACAGUACCUGAAGAAUAAGCACCGGCUAACUACGUGCCAGCAGCCGCAGUAACAC
rnacentral:rRNA from 1 species